rnacentral:rRNA from 1 species
GUCCUAGCACUAAACGGUGCUUGCUUGCUGUAAGAGGAAUCGACCCCUCUUGUGGCGGAGCUAACGCGUUAAGCAAGCCGCCUGGGAAGUACGGUCGCAAGAUUAAAACUCAAAGAAAUUGACGGGGGCCUGCACAAGCGGUGGAGUAUGUGGCUUAAUUCGAUGCAACGCGAAGAACCUUACCUGGCCUUGACAUGCAUUUAGUAGAAGGGUGAAAGCCUGACGAGGUAGCAAUACCAGAAUGCACAGGUGCUGCAUGGCUGUCGU